UCUGAAUUGAAGCAGCUUACAUGUUAGCUAACAGAAUGUAAGCUGCUUCAAUUCAGGGA
rnacentral:pre_miRNA from 1 species